AGAGUUUGAUCAUGGCUCAGAACGAACGCUGGCGGCGUGCCUAACACAUGCAAGUCGGACGGAGUAUAUGUUGUAGCAAUACGGCGUAUAUUUAGUGGCGGACGGGUGAGUAACACGUAGGUAACCUACCCAAGAGAGGGGGACAACUCAGGGAAACUUGGGCUAAUACCCCAUAAGACCACGUGCUGGGAAGCAUGAGGUAAAAGGUAGCAAUACGCUCAUGGAUGGGCCUGUGGCCUAUCAGGUAGUUGGUGGGGUAACGGCUCACCAAGCCAAAGACGGGUAGCCGGGCUGAGAGGUUGGACGGCCACACUGGAACUGAAAUACGGUCCAGACUCCUACGGGAGGCAGCAGUGGGGAAUAUUGCACAAUGGGGGAAACCCUGAUGCAGCGACGCCGCGUGGAGGAUGAAGGCCUUCGGGUUGUAAACUCCUUUUCUUGGGGAAAAUGGUGAUGGUACCCAAGGAAUAAGCCACGGCUAACUCUGUGCCAGCAGCCGCGGUAAGACAGAGGUGGCGAGCGUUGUUCGGAAUUACUGGGCUUAAAGGGCGAGUAGGCGGUGGGACAAGUCUGAGGUGGAAUCCUAUGGCUUAACCAUAGAAUUGCCUUAGAAACUGUUUUACUUGAGUCAGUGAGGGGAGGGCGGAAUUCCCGGUGUAGCGGUGAAAUGCGUAGAUAUCGGGAGGAAGGCCGGUGGCGAAGGCGGCCCUCUGGCACUGUACUGACGCUGAGGCGCGAAAGCGUGGGGAGCAAACAGGAUUAGAUACCCUAGUAGUCC
rnacentral:rRNA from 1 species